rnacentral:lncRNA from 1 species
GUGGGCCUGGCGGACGAGGCACCCGCCAGAGGGGCCUCUGCGGAAGGAGGGAGAGACCAGAGACCAGGCUCCCCCAUCUCACCACCCUGCACCUGCACUCAGGGGCUGUGAAUCCCACGGGCUCUGCUCCAGCCCCGAGAGCUGAGUUUCCUGUUACUUGCUACAAAAAGCCCUGAGCAAGCUGCCAAGUAUUGAGUCGGAGGACGACAUCACCGGCACGUGGGGGAAACGCUAGCUGCUGGGGCGGACGCGGCUGCUAAUCUCAGCAACUUCAUACAAAAUGCUCGCCCUAGGCAUCAAGAGGCCGUGUCGUCAUCCAGCGCAGCCACGUGGCUGGUCGGCGGGGGAAGGGCGCGGUCCCUGGUGGCCCAGUGGUCUCUGAGUGACCAGCCUCCUCCUCUGUCGUGUGUGCCCCUCUGACCCUCUGAAUCCUCGUCACUCAGCCGGAGGCUGGGAGCAGGGCGUGAAGACAGGUGGAAAGAAUU